AUUGUGUUAUUUAUUACACUGUUUUUCUCGGUAUACUAUCCAUCAUAGAAAAUUUGGACUUGUCCUUUUCUUGAGUGUUUCUAUGGAUAAUUAGCACACUGUUGAACUAUUUUUGGAUUGGAAAGGGAAAAUCUUCAUUUAGGUGGUUAUUUUCUUCUUUGGUUUAGAUAAUCACAUGCUUUUGUUAUGUAAGUUGUGUUUCUCUUUGUCUUGUAAUGAAAGCUUGAAUUAUACAAAAUAUAACUUUGUGGAUUUUAUUUGAUUGGAGUUGAUAUGUUGUUAGUAUCCACUGGAGCCAUGUGCUGGUUCUGGAGUUCUGGCCAACCCAAAAUUUCUAUCACCCAUAAAGGUUUCUUUAGGUUGGAGCAUUGUACUGAAAGCUUGAAUUGUACAAAAUUUCUAUUAGCCAACUGAACUACUUAUUGCAUGAAAUUUAGCAGAGAUGGAAGAGAGAUGAUGUGGCUUAAAAAGUAUCUCUAGUUAUUGGACAUGUGACUAAUGAUAAAUAGCAAGGGACUCAGACAUCAAAAUUAUUCAAUGAUUAUAAGAAAUAUCUGGAUUCAUGGUGAAAUUUGAGAGUUCAAUCUACUCUGUAAUUUAUUAUGUUUUUCUUGAUAAAAUAGGACAUUUUAAAUCGGCAUCAUGUGUGGCUUUUCCAUGUUCGAGGUUCUUCGGAACUAUCUUGUUGCUCACCGGUAUUGAAUUACAUCUUUUUCUUUUGCCAUGCAGUAGAAAUUUUUGGUGAAUAAUUAAUGCAACUCAUUAAACAUUUCCUUUAUGCAUCACUUUGGUGAAUAAUUAAUGCAACUCAUUAAACAAAUUCUGAAAGCAUAAGCAGGCAUAGAUUAAAACGAGUAUAUACUGUGACGGAAGAGGAUUAUGCUGCUGCCGAAAAACUGAAACCUGAAGUGCCAUUUGCUUACAUUUUGAAAUGUUAAAGCAUUCAGGGACUCCUUCUGGCAAUCAGCUCAUUUUAUCAGGAAGUACUUUGCUUCAUUCUUAUUUGUUUGUGUCUUGAGUUUUAGAACUUCAUCCACUUGGCUCUGAAUUGAAUCUCUUUCUUCAACUGUUGACUAUUUCCACUCUCACAAAAAACAUCCAUCUGACAAAUUGAAACAAACCUCUGGAGCAUUUACAGAAGGAUAUUUACAGCAUGUCAUUUUUCCAUGGCAACGGCUUGAAUAAUUUGUCAUUAAGUUUUCCUCCAUCUCCAGAUAUAUAUCCUCUUUGGCUAUUAAGAUGUUUCAUUCUUGUCUUUGUUGGUUGUGUAUUCUUUGAUGUCAACAGAUGGUGUUUGAGAAUGUCCAAGUAUCAUUACUUUGACCAACAAACUAAAGUCAAAUCCCAAGUUUUAGGUAUAUAUGUAUGUCACCUGAGUUCCAAAAUGUGAAAAAUAUCAACUAGUUGAUUAGUAAAUAAUACAGUGAAUGCAGAUCACUAAUCUGAGGUAUAAUACACUUCUGUCCUCCAUAUUAGGAUCCGAAUGCCUUUUAUCAAUCACUGUAUUUCCCAAAAGGUUCAUAUAUGUUCUGUUGACAGAUUAUGUUGUCUAUAAUCAAAGAAUUUAUGAUUAUUUG
rnacentral:lncRNA from 1 species